rnacentral:lncRNA from 1 species
AUGCCACACCCCUCGUGUCGAGGGUGCCCCAGCUCCCUGUGCGCAUGUCCAGCAUGCAAGUGGCAGUCACCACUGAGUCACAGCCAAAAUGUGGAGGCCAAGGCAGGCUGUUUGCUUCCCUGUGAUGGUGGCACUCCUCUACAGAGUGUCUUCUUUGUUCUCGCUCUCUACUCCUGUUUUAGUGCCAGCUAUCCAGAAGGACAGAGCAGGAGAGGAGAGGAAGAUAGCGGCGGAGAACACAAAGCCAGGGCUGACUGCUGUGGUGAAAGCCCAACUGGAACCAGUGGUGUUCCAAAUGGACAAAAACCAAUGCAGAUCCACACCCAGAAUGGCAAUGUGUAAAACUGGAUGCAAGUUCUACAGAAAACUGCUAAAGUGAGUAGUAGUCGCCUGUCACUGAUGGAUAUAGUUAUGUAAGAACACAUACGUGAAGUGACAGUUCAUUACCAUGAAUGCAUCUUCCACAGCAAAUCACCAUGAGGACAAGUAUUCUAUUCUGAGGCACAGAGAAACGUACAUGAAACCUCUGUUUUUCCCCUCUAAGUUUAAAGGGUAUUUUGUUCAUAGAAAAUUCUCUGUAUCAUGAAUGUGAGAUAGACUAAUAGACAAAAAACUCAAAUCAUACUCUUGAAAUAAUCACUGCUGUGAAUCAGCUGCUUUGUCUCAGAAGAAUAGAUGAAUAAUUGCUACAGUGAGAGGUUGAAACUUGACUUGAGCCCAUGUACUUUGUAAAUAGAGGUUUUCUUUAAAGUUGGUUGUUAAAAUGUUGUAAGGUAAUAAAAGCUAGUACAUUUUCU